GGAAGGCGGUCUGAGAUGCACUCAGGAGCCCUUCCCGGGCUCUGCUGCUCUGGGCUGGAGCAGGGAGGCUGAAGCCUAUCGCAGCCAGGAGAAGCGGCGGCCCCCCAGCUCGCCCUACCCGCCGCCGCCGCCUGCCCCUCUGCUCUGCCGGGACUGAACCUGGAGGCACAGCUGGGGAGGGGCUGAGCGAGCAGCCAGGGAGGUGCAGAAGUGCUGGAGGCCGGGCGAGCGAGGCAAGCAUCUGACCCCCACCAAUCCACCACCUCAGCUGCUGCCACCCCCGCUUCCCCACCACCACCACCUUCCUUCAUUCCUCCUUUCUGCAAAGAGGCCAAACAGCCAGGGCCAAACGGGCGCGCUCAGGCGCUCGCAUGUCCUCCCCAUCUCGUUCUGAUAUGUGGCAGUUUCUGCAGAGACCCUGACCACCACCCCCAGCGUCCCCACUUUUAUUGCCCCUUCUCGGCAGGAAGAGCGUCCGUGGGUCUGCAGCUUCAUGGGGGGGGGGCGGUGCGCACGUGGACAGCUGAGCAAAAAAGUUAACUGCUCUGCAAAGGACUUGGAUGGAGCUGGGAAAUUGAGGGGGUGGGGGCGGCGGCCAUGUCCGUGUGUGGUAUGCACGUUGCUUCCAGGCGAGAGGAGGAGAAAAAACGAGAGGGAAGGGGGAGGCCGUCUGAGAUGCACUCGGGAGUCUUUCCCGGGCUCUGCUGCUCUUGUCUGAAGCAAGGAGGCCGAAGCCUUGGCUGGCUCGCCUCGGCUGGCUCUGAUCCUUCAUUUUAUUGCAGACAGGAGAAGCGGCCGCCCCCAGCUCGUCCUGGGGAGAGCAGAGCAGCCUCCCCCACUUCUCUGCCAGGACCUCGUAUGUGCAAAUGGUGGAGCAGGCCUCCCAGGGGCCGCUCCACCACGCGCGCUGGAGCACGUGCACAGGCGCAGACGGGUAGAACGGGUUGCGUCAAUCGGAGGCCCCUCCACCACCACCAGCCCCUCUGGGUCCUCCAGUACAGACAUGGCGCCGUUUAUGUGCCAGCAAGGUAAGGCACCAAAGACUUACUUGAUGAGAGAGGAUCACACCAAAGUCUGUAACACUUGAACAGUGUCGACAAUCUAGACAAGGUUUUAAGAAAUCAUGAUAAAUUGCCUGUGGGAUGGGGAGGUGGCGUGCUGAACUUUGGAAAACCUCUUUCUGAAAGCGCUGUGCCAUAUAUUAUACAUAUGCCUUUCUAACUUUCAGAUGUGAAGCCCACGAGGAAUUCAAUCCGAGGACUCAGUGGUUGGGAGUGACAGAGCAAAAUCCAGCUGCCAGUUUUCUUCCCUUGUUUGAAACAAAUAAAUAAAUCUUUGUGAACCGUUGGCA
rnacentral:lncRNA from 1 species